rnacentral:lncRNA from 1 species
AGUGUAUGUAUUGGAAUCCAACAAAUUAAUUUGAUCAGAUGGUUUGAUCAAUUCUAAAUAUAGGUUUAGAAUUUGAUCAAGUUUGAACAUGAUUGUGAUUUGACUCUAGUUUUAUAUGCUAGAGAAUCGAAUAUUUUGGGAAUUGGGAUGUUCGUGAAAAUUGAACUUGAGUUUAGUUUAACGACAUUUCGGUCGAUAUCGGAUUUAGGUUUAGUUUAACGACGUUUCGGUCGAUUGAUUUGGUGGAUUAGUUUAACGACGUUUCGGUCGUAGGUUUGGUGGAUUUGUUUAACGACGUUUCGGUUGAUUGAUUUGGUGGAUUAGUUUAACGACGUUUCGGUCGAAGGUUUGGGUUUGGUUUACAAGGUUUAUGGUAUUGGGUAUAUGGGAUUAUGGUUCAUGAACUUAGAUAUGGUUCAUGGACUUAUGGACUUAUGGUUCAUGGG